GAUAAACGCUGGCGGCGUGCAUAACACAUGCAAGUCGAACGAACUUUAGCAAGGAGCUUGCUCCAUGCAAAAGAGAGUGGCGGACGGGUGAGUAACGCGUGGGUAACCAACCCUAAAGAGGGGGACAACCAUGAGAAAUCGUGGCUAAUACCGCAUAAUCUUGUCAUUUCGCAUGAAGAGACAAGAAAAGGAGUAAUCCGCUUUAGGACGGACCCGCGUCUGAUUAGCUAGUUGGAGAGGUAAAGGCUCACCAAGGCGACGAUCAGUAGCCGAUCUGAGAGGAUGGACGGCCACAUUGGGACUGAGACACGGCCCAAACUCCUACGGGAGGCAGCAGUGGGGAAUAUUGCGCAAUGGGGGAAACCCUGACGCAGCAACGCCGCGUGAAGGAAGAAGGCUUUCGGGUCGUAAACUUCAGACGCUAGUGAAGAAAAAAAUGACGGUAGCUAGGCCGAAGCUCCGGCUAACUACGUGCCAGCAGCCGCGGUAAUAC
rnacentral:rRNA from 1 species